AGGAUAGUAGUUAAAUAUAACAUUUGAUUUGCAUUCAAAAAGUAUUGAAAUAUUUCAAUCUAUCUUG
rnacentral:tRNA from 1 species